AUAAUCAUACAAUUGAAAGGAGCAUAGGGCAGGAUUUGAGAAAAAAAAUUAACAUUAAUUAACAUUUUUUCUGAUACUAAAGGGUGAUGAAGUGCUCUAAACCAAAGAGAAUGAGAUCACACGCAUUUCUACCCAUUGCCUUGAAAAGAUUGUGUGAUACAUUUUGUACUUUUAUUACGGGUACGAACAGCAGUACUGUUCCGCUGAUGGUGACGUCAAAUGACGCUGGUGCGCAUUCACGACGGCUUGGAGAGGCGUCCCAAUAGCGUUGUUUUGACCAAAUCGUCACACACGAGGAAAAGAGAAGAGAGACUUGAGUCCAAAACUGGAUUAAAAGAGACCAAAUACUGGUGGUUUUAAUUUGAAAAAAUAUCAGCAGGAAGAUCCUCCUGGAUGAUAAAACCUCCAUGGGGGGGUUCAGAGAGUGUUUUGAAAACGAAGGAGCCACUGGGAGAAACGUAGGUCAAGUUUCCAUCAUAGACCUCAUCUACUCCACGUCUCCACAGACAGCAGACAGAAUAAAGCUCAGAGUCAGCAUGGGACCAUGGGAAGUAAACUUUCACAAGUAUUUAUUGAAGUGUAUACUUAAAGCAGAACUAAGUAACUUACACUUUGCACUCCCCCUGACGGUCCCUUUUGGUUAUGUCACUGUCGUAAAGUGUGGUUUUCUGGCCAGAGACAGCAGAGAGAGAUGAACGACCCCCAAUCACCCCGUAAACACUUAUGUUACCCUCAUGGGGACUACGAGAAUGAUUUAUUAAUGUGAAAAAGUUACUAAGUUCUGCUUUAAUGAUUAUUUACUGUUCUGUAAGACUUGAGUUUGUUUGUUUGUUUGUUUUCUUCUUCUUCUUCUAGGCGAUGUUUCUCAUUGUUUCAAUGAUUGACAGAUUUUAAGAAGGUGGAUUAAUGGGACAUCAGAACAAACAAGUGGACGUGGAGUCUCUCCAGGGAGGCGGACAACGGCGCGGACGGUGCCUGGACGCCUGCCUGGUGGUGUCGGUGCUGCUUCUGUUUGUGGCUGUUGCCGCUGUGGCUGUGGGAGGAUUCAUGGCUGUGAUGGAGCUCCGAAGUCAACUGGAAGCCUCUCGUUUGAAACUGGAACCUGUGGGGUCCAAGUUGAACCAAGUAGCGGAUAAUCCAACAUUUAAGAUGCAAAACUUUGCCUACUUGGAAGCGACCUCAGGUCAGCUGACUUCAAACUCCACAAUGCGCUUGGAUCUCAUCAAACAUGGCGAUGGAACGUCUGUUGGGAGUAACUUCAUCUUUGAUUCUGAGCAGCAUUCACUGACACCAAAGCAAGAGGGGAGCUUCUUUGUGUACAUCAAUCUCCACCUCACCUGUAUAUUCAACUGUUCAGCCGGCCUUCUCAGAGUGCAGGUUGGAGAUAAGCUGACAUGCGAGGUGGAACUUCCAUCACAUUCCAGGACUGUGACUAAGAAGUGCUGGACUGUGACAUGGAUGGAAAGAAAGAAGCUGAUCACUCAGAUAAUGGUGCCAAAUGGAGGACUGCCCUACUGGAAGCUGGAGCUGACAGACACUGGACUGGGUGUGUUUCUGGUUGAUUAAUGAGCUGUAGUUUUACUACUGCGGGCCAUUAAAUUGAACAUCUGCAGAUCAGGAUGGAAACAGGGAGGACCUGUUAUCAUUUGUUAACAUAUGAGAAGAUGGAAAGCAAUGGACAAAUAACUUUAGUAGGAUUCUAAAGUGGAAAGGCAAAGUAAGUUGAGAAAAAAAAAACAGGAAAAAGUGUUUUCUACGAAUGAUUAAACAUCCAAAACUUGCAGGAUUGCUGCCCUCUAGGACUGAACUAAAGGAUUGAGAUCGUGGUUAAAUGCAGCUUGAUUGUUUUAGCAGUUCAACACCACAAGUCAAUUCUAAAUGACAUCUACUGUAUGAGCGAAAGCGGAUAACAAUCUCCUUUUUCUUUCCCCCCCCCCCUUCUUAGCAGUCAAACAUAUCAGCUGUUAUCUACCAAAGUCCAAUCAGUUACUGGAAUGUUGUUUGAAUUAUUUUUAUUUUGGGAGCAGACACAUUUUAAAGAAGCUGAUUCCCACUUUUUAAAGUAACAUGAUGAUGGAGGCCUCUGAAGUUUGUGUUUAAAGUACCAGUUAAUGCUUUUGUAUGUAAUAUUUAUUAAAUAUGAGACUAUUUAUGUAUUUAUAUAAUGAUUGUUUUUCUAUGUUUUCUCAAUGUUUGUACCACUACGUUGAUGAUGAUGUGCAAUACGCUGUCUUGUUUUUUAAUAAAUAAGCUCUUGACUCUCU
rnacentral:lncRNA from 1 species